UCUUCCACAAUGGGCGAAAGCCUGAUGGAGCAACGCCGCGUGGGUGAAGAAGGUCUUCGGGGCGUAAAACACUGUUGUAAGAGAAGAAUGACAUUGAGAGUAACUGUUCAAUGUGUGACGGUAUCUUACCAGAAAGGAACGGCUAAAUACGUGCCAGCAGCCGCGGUAAUACGUAUGUUCCAGGCGUUAUCCGGAUUUAUUUGGCGUAAAGCGAGCGCAGACGGUUAUUUAAGUCUGAAGUGAAAGCCCUCAGCUCAACUGAGGAAUUGCUUUGGAAACUGGAUGACUUGAGUGCAGUAGAGGAAAGUGGAACUCCAUGUGUAGCGGUGAAAUGCGUAGAUAUAUGGAAGAACACCAGUGGCGAAAGCGGCUUUCUGGACUGUAACUGACGUUGAGGCUCGAAAGUGUGGGUAGCAAACAGG
rnacentral:rRNA from 1 species